CGUUGGGGGGGGGUCCUUAUUCUUGCAAGUCGAGCGGACAGAUGGGAGCUUGCUCCCUGUAUGUUAGCGGCGGACGGGUGAGUAACACGUGGGUAACCUGCCUGUAAGACUGGGAUAACUCCGGGAAACCGGGGCUAAUACCGGAUGGUUGUUUGAACCGCAUGGUUCAAACAUAAAAGGUGGCUUCGGCUACCACUUACAGAUGGACCCGCGGCGCAUUAUCUAUUUGGUGAGGUAAAGGCUCACCAAGGCAACGAUGCGUAGCCGACCUGAGAGGGUGAUCGGCCACACUGGGACUGAGACACGGCCCAGACUCCUACGGGAGGCAGCAGUAGGGAAUCUUCCGCAAUGGACAAAAGUCUGACGGAGCAACGCCCCGUGAGUGAUGAAGGUUUUCGGAUCGUAAAGCUCUGUUGUUAGGGAAAAACAAGUACCGUUCGAAUAGGGCGGUACCUUGACGGUACCUAACCACAAAGCCACGGCUAACUACGUGCCAGCACCCGCGGUAAUACGUAUGUGGCAAGCGUUGUCCGGAAUUAUUGGGCGUAAAGGGCUCGCAGGCGGUUUCUUAAAUCUGAUGUGAAAGCCCCCGGCUCAACCGGGGAGGGUCAUUGGAAACUGGGGAACUUGAGUGCGCAAAAGGAGAGUGGAAUUCCACGUGUAUCGGUGAAAUGCGUAGAGAUGUGGAGGAACACCAGUGGCGAAAGCGACUCUCUGGUCUGUAUCUGACACUGAGGAGCGAAAGCGUGGGGAGAGAACAGGAUUAUAUACCCCUGGGUAGUCCACGCCCUAAACGAUGAGUGCGCAGUGUGACGGGGGUUUUCCGCCCCCUUAGUUGCUGCAGACUUAACGCAUUUAAGCACCUCCGCCCUGGGGGAGUACAGUCGCA
rnacentral:rRNA from 1 species